GAUCCUGGCUCAGGACGAACGCUGGCGGCGUGCCUAACACAUGCAAGUCGAACGGAGAAUUUUAUUUCGGUAGAAUUCUUAGUGGCGAACGGGUGAGUAACGCGUAGGCAACCUGCCCUUUAGACGGGGACAACAUUCCGAAAGGAGUGCUAAUACCGGAUGUGAUCAUCGUGCCGCACGGCAGGAUGAAGAAAGAUGGCCUCUACAAGUAAGCUAUCGCUAAAGGAUGGGCCUGCGUCUGAUUAG
rnacentral:rRNA from 1 species